rnacentral:rRNA from 1 species
UGGGGAAUUUUCGACAAUGGGGGGAACCCUGAUCGAGCCAUCCCGCGUGUGCGAUGAAGGCCUUCGGGUUGUAAAGCACUUUUGUCAGGGAAGAAAAGUCACUUACUAAUAUUAGGUGACGCUGACGGUACCUGAAGAAUAAGCACCGGCUAACUACGUGCCAGCAGCCGCGGUAAUACGUAGGGUGCAAGCGUUAAUCGGAAUUACUGGGCGUAAAGCGUGCGCAGGCGGUUUGGAAAGAAGGAUGUGAAAUCCCAGGGCUCAACCUUGGAACUGCAUUCUUAACUGUCAAACUAGAGUAUGUCAGAGGGGGGUAGAAUUCCACGUGUAGCAGUGAAAUGCGUAGAUAUGUGGAGGAAUACCGAUGGCGAAGGCAGCCCCCUGGGAUAAUACUGACGCUCAUGCACGAAAGCGUGGGGAGCAAACAGG